AAAUUUUGUUUUAUGUUUCAUAAGGUAUAAUUGUGACUUUAAUAUUUGAAAUCUGUUAUUAUGAUAAUUUACAAUCAGGCCUUCGAUAAUUUAUAAUCAUGGUAUUGAUAAUGAGGAUUUAUAUCAAUGAUCUGAUAACUUUUCAUCAUGACUUUGAUAAUGUACAAUAAUGGCUUUGAUAAUUUAAAAUCAUAACUGAUAACUUGAAUUGUUGGUUUAUAAUCAUUACUUUGAUAUUUCGCAAUCAUGAUUUUCAUAAUCAUAUUAAUGAAUGAUAAUUCACAAUCAUAACUUCGAUAAUUUAAAUAAUUUACAAUCAUGCGCAUACAAAAUAUACCUGUAUAGAAAUCUCUUUGUGGAUUUUAUUUUCAUGCAUCAAAUCGUUUCUUUUGAUAAGUCCUUAGUGUUCAAUUUAAUUAUCAUGUAUCGAGAGAUCAAAGGAGAGCAGUAUCAAGAGUUCGAACAUGUCAUAUUGAAACAAUAACGUUAGCAUUAAAUUUAAAGGGACACCAUGGCUGAGGUUUUACAGUUAUUUUCACGAGGAACAUACAGAAUUUAUAAGAAUGCUGAAGUAAAUCAAUUCUCCUCUGUGACAGACUGACAGGAGGGGUAAAACAUCCCGUGAAAGAGGGGGAGGGGCAGAUAUGAUGUGACACUUUUUAAGUCCAAAAGGUGAGGCUCUCCACGCUAUGGCAGGGUUAUAUUUACACAUUGACGGUAAUGCAAUCCAAUAUGUUACUGGUUACCCAAACAAGAUUAACAAACCAUUCUAUUUGAUCAAAAAUUUUAGUUACAUCGAUGUCUUGUGAACGCUUUGUCAUACACACAGGUGCUCGUAUUUGAUCAAGAGCAAAUCCGAACAGACGGGGUAAUUUAACAACCAUGUCCAGUGUGAACUCCUGUUUGAAAAUCAUUUCGUGGUCAUCGCAGCUAUUCUGAAGCAGUUUAAUCCCAUUUCAGUUGAAGAGAAGACUCUGGUUAAUUCUAUUGUCCGUUGGACGAGGCUUAAGCAUGAACCAUCUAACUGCAAUGGUGAAAUGUUUAAACAACAUCAUCAAAAGAAUACUCACUAACACUUGAGCCGUGUCGACAAACACAGAGCAGACCCUGCUUAUGGGCGCUUGUAGAGAUCACCAAAGAAGACGAAGAGGAGGAUAAGUGUUAAUAUCCUCAAUUUACAUGUGUUCCUGUCCAUGUCAAUUAUCAAUAUACAACAUGUCUGGAAUUUCUGUUCCGUGUGAGUUAUAUUAAACAAAGUCAAAAAUA